rnacentral:rRNA from 1 species
UGAUGCAGCGACGCCGCGUGAGGGAUGACGGCCUUCGGGUUGUAAACCUCUUUCACCAGGGACGAAACUGACGUGACGGUACCUGUAGAAGAAGGACCGGCCAACUACGUGCCAGCAGCCGCGGUAAUACGUAGGGUGCGAGCGUUGUCCGGAAUUACUGGGCGUAAAGAGCUCGUAGGUGGUUUGUCGCGUUGUCCGUGAAAUCGCUCAGCUCAAUUGUGGGCCUGCGGGCUAUACGGGCAGACUGGAGUACUGCAGGGGAGACUGGAAUUCCUGGUGUAGCGGUGGAAUGCUCAUAUAUCAAGAGGAACACCGGAGGGGAACGCGGUUCUCUGGGCCUUAACUGAAGCUGAGGAACGAAAGCGUGGGGAGCGAACUGGAUUACAUGCCCUGGUAGUCCACGCCGUAAACAGGGGGUACUAGGUGUGGGUUUCCUUCCUUGGGAUCCGUGCCGUAUCUAACCCAUUAACCACCCCGCCUGGGGAGUACGGCCGCAAGGCUAAAACU